UACGUAGGGUGCGAGCGUUAAUCGGAAUUACUGGGCGUAAAGGCGUGCGCAGGCGGUUUUGUAAGCCAGGUGUGAAAUCCCCGGGCUCAACCUGGGAAUGGCAUUUGGGACUGCAAGGCUGGAGUGCGGCAGAGGAGACUGGAAUUCCUGGUGUAGCAGUGAAAUGCGUAGAUAUCAGGAGGAACACCGAUGGCGAAGGCAGGUCUCUGGGCUGACACUGACGCUCAUGCACGAAAGCGUGGGGAGCAAACAGG
rnacentral:rRNA from 1 species